GUCUUCGUGGUGCAGUGGUCAGCACGCUGGGCGCGUAUUCCAGAUGUUCGGGGUUCGAGUCCCGUUGAGGGCG
rfam:Stegodyphus mimosarum contig123566, whole genome shotgun sequence.